rnacentral:rRNA from 2 species
GGAAGAGUAGCUUGCUACUUGACCUAGCGGCGGACGGGUGAGUAAUGCUUAGGAAUCUGCCUAUUAGUGGGGGACAACAUCUCGAAAGGGAUGCUAAUACCGCAUACGUCCUACGGGAGAAAGCAGGGGACCUUCGGGCCUUGCGCUAAUAGAUGAGCCUAAGUCGGAUUAGCUAGUUGGUGGGGUAAAGGCCUACCAAGGCGACGAUCUGUAGCGGGUCUGAGAGGAUGAUCCGCCACACUGGGACUGAGACACGGCCCAGACUCCUACGGGAGGCAGCAGUGGGGAAUAUUGGACAAUGGGGGGAACCCUGAUCCAGCCAUGCCGCGUGUGUGAAGAAGGCCUUUUGGUUGUAAAGCACUUUAAGCGAGGAGGAGGCUACCGAGAUUAAUACUCUUGGAUAGUGGACGUUACUCGCAGAAUAAGCACCGGCUAACUCUGUGCCAGCAGCCGCGGUAAUACAGAGGGUGCAAGCGUUAAUCGGAUUUACUGGGCGUAAAGCGCGCGUAGGUGGCCAAUUAAGUCAAAUGUGAAAUCCCCGAGCUUAACUUGGGAAUUGCAUUCGAUACUGGUUGGCUAGAGUAUGGGAGAGGAUGGUAGAAUUCCAGGUGUAGCGGUGAAAUGCGUAGAGAUCUGGAGGAAUACCGAUG